ensembl:lncRNA
UCCUGAAAGAGACUGCCAAGCUCCGAGAGUGGCUUCGGGUGUCCUUUUACUUCAUCUCUGCCCUUUCCUCUGCUUCAGUGGAUGCAAGAGGCAAGCAAGGCUGUCAGAGUGGCUUUGGGGCCAUCCAGGAAUAUUAAAGCACUUGUCUGUAUCUGUGUACCAAGUGGCUGUACCACACCCCAGCAUCUGUCUGUCUCCAGAAGUAGAAGAUCAGAAGUAUACUGAAUCACAUCAAAAAAGACACCUGGUAGACAAGAAAACUUUGAUCUUACUAAUGACAGGACCUACUGGCUGGAAUCUGCAGCUCACAGUUAUUAUGAGAAGCAAGGAAUUGAGCUAUUCAGGACUGUAGCAUUCCGAUUCCAAGUGCGUUCUGUCUGCUGGAUUGUGUCAGUGCCCUCUAGUGACUAAUUCCCUGAACUGUGUUGGGUUUUCACUGGAGAGAGACAUCGAAGGGGUGGUUGUCUGCUGAGAGCCGGAGACAGGUAAAUCUCCUCAUAUUAUUUUUAGGGCAGCACUAGUUUGUCCUGCAGAAGCAAAAAGAAACGCUCACUGAGCAUUUCUGAAUGCAUGCACACUGCUACUGUGGAAAUAGCACGUCUGAAACAAAGCACGAGUCAAAUCAAGUGCAAACCAGUGGAACUAAAACUACUGGGCUGUCGCUGCGCAACACUUGAAUGGUUUCAGUGAAGUGUGGAAUUAGUGACAUUUUGCUGAAUAAUUAUCCUCUGAGGCUUGAGAAGGGGUCACAGGAUUCUGGUUUUCAUCUGAUACAGCAGCUGUAGGCUGGGCUGAUAGAUUACUGACAUUUCUUCUGUAUGGUGACAGCAUGCCAGGUUUUAGAAAACCAAAUUGGUUCUUUCCUAAAGACUUUUCUUGUUUAGUAGUGGGAGCAUUUCUGUCUUUUCCUAUUAUUAGAGCUUUACACACAGUGUUGUGCACUGUAGUUGCUGGCACACUUGUCAGGGGGCAUCCUGAAGAUAACUCUUGAUGGAUUGUUUCAGGAGCAUGGCCUCACCUUUACCUGAAAGGAAUACGGUAGAUUUGCUCUGUUCCUGGAAAGGAUGGGAGCAGAGACAAACUCCUUUUGUACUUUUCGUUACAAUCACACAAGUGCAGAGUUAGGAAGUGCAGAGGCAGUUGUCAGUUGUCAGUUGUCAGUUCUUAAAAGGAACGUACUUGUUCCUUUUAAAAUUCAUGUUCUUGUAUAGUAGUUCACUAUAUUAAAUUUCUCAAUGAAUUGACAACUCAAUGCAAAUAGAUCAGUGCUGUUACCAUUGCUGUUCAUUCUGCUGCAAAAUACUGUGGUUUGUUUCUGCUGGUGGUUUUGGGGGGAAGAGGGUGUUUGCCUGUGUUUUUCCUUCUUUCAAGUAAAAAUUCAAGUGCCCUUUUAAAUGUUUAAUUGCAUCCAUUAAUAUAGCCAGCGUAGGAGUUUGGUGAAUCCAGGCUCAGGAACUGAUUUAUCUGGACUAUUAAAAUCGUAUGACAGGUAUGCUAAGGGCCAGAUACGGAGGUGGUGUGCAAACUGGCAUAUAUGAGACUUCUUUAUGUUCUUACAUUGUAUUAGCUUCCCACCGGCUUCCCUGCACCUACUCAGUUGGCAUAUAAGGGAUGCUAGGGCGGUGUAAUUUACGCGGUAAGCUCUUCUUACCAUAUAAGCAUUAAGAACGUAUAAUUGAAAUGCAUAUCACCUUGUUUGAACUCACUUCCUUUUUUCUGUCUUACUUUGUAUUUGCACUGACAAUACCAUAGGACAUAGACCUUAC